rnacentral:tRNA from 1 species
GCCCCAGUGGCGCAAUGGAUAGCGCGUCGAACUUCUAAUCGGGUUGAGGGUUCGAGUCCCUCCUGGGUG